rnacentral:rRNA from 1 species
GACGAACGCCGGCGGCGUGCUUAACACAUGCAAGUCGAACGGACAGACAGAGAGCUUGCUCUCUUGAAGUUAGUGGCGAACGGGUGAGUAACGCGUAAUCAACCUGCCCUUCAGAGGGGGAUAACAACGGGAAACCGUUGCUAAUACCGCGUACGAUUCAUGAACGGCAUCGUUUAUGAAUGAAAGGUGGCCUCUAUGUAUAAGCUAUCGCUGAAGGCGGGGAGUGCGUCUGAUUAGCUAGUUGGAGGGGUAACGGCCCACCAAGGCAAUGAUCAGUAGCCGGUCUGAGAGGAUGAACGGCCACAUUGGGACUGAGACACGGCCCAAACUCCUACGGGAGGCAGCAGUGGGGAAUCUUCCGCAAUGGACGAAAGUCUGACGGAGCGACGCCGCGCGAGUGAUGAAGGUCUUCGGAUUGUAAAGCUCUGUUAAUCGGGACGAAAGAGUUCUGCGUGAAUAAUGCAGAAAAGUGACGGUACCGGAAUAGAAAGCCACGGCUAACUACGUGCCAGCCGCCGCGGUAA